rnacentral:tRNA from 1 species
UAGUCUGAGCCAAUUAUGGCUAGAGCGCCGUCUUGACAUGGCGGAGGUCACAAGUUCAAGUCUUGUCGGACCCACCA